AUGUAACUCUCGAUGCAUAUGUAGCAAGAUCCCUUCUUACCAAUGGUCACCGACAACUGAGUGGCGGGUCACUCAACUGAGCAGCGAGUCACCCAACUCGCUUGCACCUCUAUAUCGGAGUCACGUAGGCAUCUUGAGGAAAUGGGUUGAUUGAUUUUCUUCAAACAAGGCAAUCAAUUGUACUUCGAGUUUGUGAUUUCGUGAAUCUAAAUCUAUAUCCAUCUACUCGAGAAAUUAAACCAAAAGGAAAGAAGAAAAUGUCAGAACCCUCGUCAUCAAGAAUAAUUUUCAGAUAUUUCCAGCUCAUUGCAUUGAAAUCCUCGCCAAAUAAUCUAAACAUCGUCCAAAUUCUCACGUUUCGUACUUCGCUAUUAAUUUCUUCGAGAACCCAUUUCUCAUCAUCGCCCAAUGUUGCAAGAAUUUUCGACAAACUGUACCCAAAUGCGGAAUUUUCGCCGAACAGAAAUUUUAUUGGGUUCAGAUACUUUUCUUUAAAGAAUGCAAUGGGUUCCAAGAAUUUGGUAAAAGAUGCGGCAAAUCCAGCAGUGGCGGUUAAGGACACUUUUUUGUGGUACAAAGAGGCCUUCUGGAAGAGAAAUUAUCUGAUGUUGCUGGGUGCAGGUGGGAUCGUGGUAAGCAUUCUUGCUCUUUCAUCACGUUUGCUGUGAGUUUUUUACAAUUUGUAUCUGAUUCUGCUCUAUAUUGUUCAUUUAAUUGUUCAGUGUAUUACAUGCGAAGCAGUUACUGUUGCGUAAGCCAAUUUAUUGAGGAGCAUAUUAGCAAUUAAGUUACGGAAAUUUUUUAUUGGCUUUCUCAUUGUGAAUCAAAAAUUAGAACUCACAUUCAUUUUGAAACAGGCUUCUCUGAAUUCUGUAUAACUUUUAAUGUUUGAAUGGUGAUAUACUGAUGAUUGAAUUAUGAUCAAUUGACUCCUCGACCAAUUUACGUCUAUCUCAAUUGAAGCAGACUAUUUUUGGGAAUUAUCCAUUUCAUUUAUGCACUGGAUGGCGGACGCCGCUUGAGACUGCAAUAUUUUAGCAUGUUGUGUACAGCAGAGGAGAUAUUCUGUGCCCUGAUUCAUGUUUGUAUCCUUUUAUAAGGGGGAAAAAUUCACUGAAAAAUCAUAGAUAGUCUUGCUUGAUAUUCCAAGCUCCUUUGAUAUUGUAAAGAAUUUCCAUAUAGAAUCAUCACACCUUCUUUUUUUUGGAAGAAAUUGAUUGUAAGAUGCUAAAAGUUAUGAUUCAACUAUGCCUUCUUUUACAUUUAUCCUGGUUCUUUCACCUGUAUAUGCUAUCUACCAUUCUACUGUAGCUUAAAGAAAGCUCUUUCGUACAACAAAUCAAAAUAGGAAAUUGAUUGUGAUCCGCAAAAAUUAUGAUUCGACUGCAUUCUUUAUUUUACAUUUAUCCUGUCUCUUUUACCUGUUUAUCUCCCAUUCUAACGUAGCAUGAAGAAAGCUCAUUUAUCCAACAACCGAAAAAAGGGAAGCAUAACAAUGGUCAAAAUAUGAGUGGCGAGGCAUGGUUUCCCUUUGGCCUUCUGCAUUAAACUUGUCGCGAUUAAAUAGAUCGAGGCAAAAAAAGGAAAUUUGUGGAGAGAGUGGAAUCCAUAACAUUUUAAUGGGAUUUAUCUGUUCGAACAGUGAGAUAAUUUAAUAGAAUCCCCUGCAUAACCCUUUUCGUGAAAUGCUAUUUCAGCAUGUCACAGUUGUCACUUACCGAGUUAUCCUGAUUCUGAAGUUGUUCAGUUCUAAUAGACUAGACAGGUCUGCUGACUUCUAGGUUUAAUGGCUGUCAAGGUUAGUACUGGUAAAUGAUGUGGAAUCAUAUCUAACUUUCCUUCCAAUGAGAUUUUGUGGAACUCACUUAGCACUGUUGGUAGGGUAUUCAGUUUUAUCUUUUCCCGUAAUAUAAUCAUAAAUAUAUUUGCUUAUUUUCUCCUUUAAGGGCUUUUAUUUUCGUCCAAGAAUCACAAUUAAUCCCAAUGAGGUUUAUAAAAUGGCCAUAAGGAAACUAAAUAAUCUGCUGGAAUCCUCGUGUUUAUGGGUGCUCCCAUAGGACAAAUGUGAGUGUAUAUGUGAUGUCAGGAUGUUUUAUUACACUUGAGAACUUCUGGUGAGAUUUAGAAGCCAAAUAUGUUAUUUUAUUUUUUCAAUACAAGAUUCGGAGAGGAAGAGAUAGUAGCUGUUGAAGUUAUGAAGAAGAAAGAACAGGUUUUCCUCUGUACUGGCUGCUUAUGUAUUCCUUUACACGAAGCAACUUUGUCUGUAUUUGAGGGAUUGGCUGCAUUGAUUUCUCUUGCUUUCUGAAUGUCCUUGUGCAAGUCAUCGGAGGUUGUAAUUGUAGUCAAGAAAACUGUUGCAUAUGUCUUGUUAAGACUUGUUUUUCAACCGUGGUGUAACAGUUAUUCCUACAUGAUAGGGGUUAAAGUAGUUUAAAUUUUUCUGGAGAAGCCAGAUGCCAUUAAAUAUAAGAUGCAGUUAACAUUGCUCUCAAUUUUCUUUCUGCAGUUUGAUAUGCAAUUAUUGGGAUGAAGAGCAUGACCGGCUGGAAUACUGAAAGGGAACUUCAAAAAGCAGAAAGCAAGCAAGCAAGCACCCAGAAGAAACUGAUUCACUGCAAUUUCCCAAUAGUUCUCAUUUUUUUCUUGUUCUUUGCAAUGAAAGGUUAGGUCCUUGAUCUUCGAAAGAUGUAUUUGACGUGCGGGUAAAAGGUCAUACUUCGUCUGUUGCGCUGUAGUUAUUAUCCUAUCAACUUUUUGCUUGUCACACUUUAAAUUGAAGAGAAACUAUAUGUUGUAUACUCGUGUUAGUGCUCAACUAUCUCUGUCGAAUGCAAAGACUUGACGUCUUGACCUAGUCGAGAAUACGAGUAUCCAACAAGAAGGUUUUUUUAAAUGGGUAAAUUACAGUAAAUGUUCUUAACUUUUACAGUUCGUCUCCAACCUUUGAUAAAUAUUCUUCUUCUUUACAUCACUGCAUCCCCAUUUUUUACAGUACAAGGAGGAUCUCUCUGGUCUUUUGCCAAAUAUGGCACUGAACAUUUUUGGCAGAAUCCGAGAGGUGAGAAGUUCCCGCAUUCUGGGUUUUAUUGCUGAACAUGGGGGAUUUCUCACCCAUUUUCUGCCAUUAUUGGCAACUUUUAUUUUUGGGUUCUUUCCUUGUUUAUGAAUAUAGUUUCUUUCAUAUUUUAAUUAAAAAUAAUGAAUCAUCAUUUUAUUUUGUUUUUUUAGUUUUUUUUUUAUUAUUAUUAUUUUUUUUAAUGGCCCAAGGGGUUGACUAACAGAGAAUUGGAUGUCAUCCAUUCAUUUAGAAGAACGUCGCCAAUUAUCAAAGGCUGGGAAUCCAAGAGAUUGGGGACGUAAGUGCAAAAGUGAGUAAUGGUUGGGUACAUUUCAAUUCAUCAUUUUAAAAUUAGCUCUAAAGUACUUAUCCACUUAUGAUGAAAUACAUGUUGACGUUUUUGAGGAUAAGUAAUUAGCCUCUCUGUUCGUAUCUCUUUUUCGAAUUUUGGUCUUGAUUGGUUCAUAAAAUUGAAUGGUCAAUCCUUCCCUGAAAUCUCUAUUCGAUUCUUCUACAAGAUAUGGGUAUGCAAGCCAUGUUUCAAGAAAGGUAGGAGAAUAGAAGAAAUCAUAUUUUCAUACAAUAUCUUAAUUGAAUUAUAUGUAAUGAUCAAUAAAUUAAGUUGAAUUAUAUCCUUUGAUAGGAGCUUUCUAUCCUGGCCCUAGAUAUGAGUCUCGCUCAUCCACUCCAACAAGAAAGGAUCAAAGGAUUGAGAGCAAUGAAGUAGGCGAAGUACUGAUUAGAUUUUGAGUUGUCUAAACAAGUAGUAUACAUGAUUUCAAGAGUUGAACAAGAAUGAAUAUCAUAUAAAAGAGUUAACACCAGUCUUUUCUUCUGGCAUUCUAACAUUUGUAUGAUUUAUAUUAAAAUUAUUUUUUUAAUAAAUUUUGAUAAAAAUUGAUUGAAAGAUUAAUAAAAAUUAUAAAUUUCAAAAAAUAUGUGAUUGAAAAUAAAUUGGAGAAAAUGAAGCCAAAUGGGGGCUCAAUAAAUCUCCCAUGAGAGCUUUUUCUUACCUUGCCAUAAACAAAGAAUGUAAGCCUUCAUUCUUAAUAGUAAUAGUUCCAAGCAUGUGAGCUCAGCUUAUACAUAACGUUGCGAGGAAAAUUAUAGACAUGAACAAGGAAUCUUCAAGCACCCCGAUCUUUUGUCUCACACGUGUCUUCUAAAAUGUCAUGUGUCGUCUUCAACUUGUCCAGUGACACGUGGUACAAACCCAUUACAUCCCCCAACUCUAAUCUAUAUAAAUCCAUGAAGUAUAUUCCAACUUCCACAAUAUCAUAUUGAAUUAUGGAAACUGUUGAGAAUAUCGGAAGAAACCACCAAAACCGGUUGCUGAUGUGGAAGAGUUAGUUAGAUUAGUUGAUUUUCUAUUAAUGCCCAACUGUAAACAACUGUAUAGAAUUUGAUUCUUUCAUUCUCUAUUUAAGGACCACCUGAUGUACAUUUCACGUGAACUUUUAUCUUCAAUACAAGAAUUUUUUCAUACUCAUCUAUAUUUCAUACUCUCUCAGAUCUAGAUUGUAGUAUCUGUUAGUUCAAUCUCAAGAUGGUAUCAGAGCAUAAUGAUGCUUCUGCUUCAGCUCCUUAGCCUUUAGUUUCUGAUCCUCCUGCUUCAGUUCCUGCAUCUGCAGCAAAAGCAGAGGACGUUUUCAGUCCCUUUUUUCUACAUCAUGGAGAUAGUCCUGGUCUCUUGAUCGUUUCUCAGUAGUUGAAUGAAGACAACUAUGCAUCAUGGAGUCGAUCUGUUGAAAUGGCUCUGAGUGCCAAAAACAAGCUGUGUUUCAUCGAUGGAUCCUUAAGCAAACUUGAUGAAGGCGAUCCGGUCUUUCCAGCUUGGAAGAGGUGCAAUCAUAUGGUUAUUUCAUGGCUUUUGAACUCCAUUUCCAAAGAACUUGCUCCUAGUAUCCUGUAAAUUGAUACUGCUGCUGCUAUUUGGUCUGAUCUUAAGGAGAGGUUUUCACAAACUAACGGACCACGUAUCUUUCAAUUGAGGAAGACAAUCACUUCUCUAACACAAGAUAAAUGUUCAGUAAGUACAUAUUUCAUUAAACUGAAGACACUUUGGGAUGAGCUUGGGUGCUAUAGACCUGUUCCAGCCUCUUUGGUGAAGUUUCAGCAGAAGGAAUAUGUCAUGCAGUUCCUGAUGGGCUUGAAUGUGAGUUACUCUCAGAUUCGAGGUCAAAUACUAUUGAUUGAUCCAUUACCACCAAUUAACAAAGUCUUUUCUCUAGUUGUACAAGAGGAGAAGCAAAGAGAAAUUACAGCUAGCAUCACACACAAUCUAGAUUCUGUUGCUAUGGUUGCUAAAAAUUUCAAUAGAAAUCUUGCCCAAGCUGCUAAUGAAGGAAGGAACAAUUACACUGGAUAGAACAAUAAGAAGGAGCGUCCUCAAUGCAGUCACUGUGGUCUUCUUGGCCACAAAGUCGACAAAUGCUACAAAGUGCACGGAUAUCCACCAGGAUAUAAGUUUAAAAACAAGAAUCCUGUGGUUCAUGGAGUUGCAAAUCAAGUGGAAUAUGCUCAUGAUGUUGACACUGAUCUUGCGCAAUUCUCAUUUACUAAGAAUCAAUAUCAAUAGUUGCUAGCCUUGAUUCAACCCACUAAUGAAGCAUCUUUGCCAUUCACAGGCACUCGCACCAUCAAUUCUCAAAAUGCAAGCACCUCUGGUUCACAAGAGCAUGCCUUAGCAAAUUUGGUAGGUACAUCAUGGUUUUUGCCUCACAAUGCAUCAGUAUUUAGUCAGUGCUUUUCAUCUAAAUCAUAUAAAGGUUCUGAAAUUUUAAGUGUGAAUUAUGAAUGGAUUCUAGACACCGGUGCUAUAGAUCAUAUGGUGUGUUCAGUUUAUUUACUCACAGAAAUCACAGCUACAGUUUCACAAUUUGUUAAGCUUCCAAAUGGUAGUUUAGCAAAAGUUACACAUAUUGGUUCAGUUAGACUUUCAAACUCGAUUGUUCUGGAGAAUGUUCUGUGUGUGCUAUCUUUUGCAUUCAAUCUGGUUUCAGUCAGUUGCUUGCUUAAAACAGUCAGAUUUGCUCUCAUUUUAUUGUGCUUUAUACAGGACCUAUGCUCAUGGACGACGAUUGGUCUGGCUAAAGAGAGAAAUAGUCUAUUCUAUAUGCUGAAUAUCACUUCCCCACAACCUAAACAUUUUGUUAAUUCUAUAACAUCCACAAUUUCUGAUUUGUGGCGUCUUAGGUUAGGUCAUCCAUCUUUGCAACGCCUAAAAAUGUUGCAACCUGUCAUUUCAAAUUUGAAUGUAAAUACUAUACAUCAAUGUGACAAUUUCCCUAUGGGUAAGUUGCACAUAUUACCCUAUGUUUCUAAUGAAAUAAAGAGUUCUGCUCCAUUUGAUCUAGUACAUGCUGAUCUAUGGGGUCCUUUCUCUAUUACCGCUAUUGAUGGUUUAAAGUACUUUCUAACUCUCGUUGUUGACUUUACUUGAUGUGUAUGGACUUGCUUGUUAAAAUCUAAAACACAAUCUGUCAUUCCAGCUUUCUUCACUUUAAUUGAGACACAAUUUAAUCUCAAGAUAAAGUGUGUUCACUCGGAUAAUGGUUCAGAAUUUCACCUUAGAGAUUUUUUUACAUCUAAAGGUGUUAUACAUCAAAAGAUUUGUGUUGAAUCACCCCAAAAAAAUGGGGUAGUCGAAAG
rnacentral:lncRNA from 1 species